rnacentral:rRNA from 1 species
UACGUAGGGGGCAAGCGUUGUCCGGAUUUAUUGGGCGUAAAGAGCGUGUAGGCGGCCUGACAGGUCUGCUGUGAAAACUCGAGGCUCAACCUCGAGAUGUCGGCGGAAACCGUCUGGCUAGAGUCCGGAAGAGGAGAGUGGAAUUCCUGGUGUAGCGGUGAAAUGCGCAGAUAUCAGGAAGAACACCCGUGGCGAAGGCGGCUCUCUGGGCCUUACCUGACGCUGAGGAGCGAAAGCUGGGGGAGCGAACAGG